GUUGUAUGGUUAAGUGACUAAGCGUACACGGUGGAUGCCUUGGCAGUCAGAGGCGAUGAAAGACGUAGUAACUUGCGAUAAGCCCAGAUUAGGUAGUAACAACCAUUUGAGUCUGGGAUUUCUGAAUGGGGAAACCCACGUGCAUAAGCACGUAUCCUUACCUGAAUACAUAGGGUAAGGAGGCGAACCGGGGGAACUGAAACAUCUAAGUACCCCGAGGAAAAGAAAUCAACCGAGAUUCCGAAAGUAGCGGCGAGCGAAAUUGGACUAGCCCUUAAGCUUUACACGCGUUAGACGAACGGUCUGGAAAGUCCGACGAUACAGGGUGAUAGUCCCGUAGUUGACGACGUGUGUUCAGUGAAAUCGAGUAGGGCGGGACACGUGAUAUCCUGUCUGAAUAUGGGGGGACCAUCCUCCAAGGCUAAAUACUACUGACUGACCGAUAGUGAACCAGUACCGUGAGGGAAAGGCGAAAAGAACCCCUGUGAGGGGAGUGAAAUAGAACCUGAAACCGUGUACGUACAAGCAGUAGGAGCACCUUCGUGGUGUGACUGCGUACCUUUUGUAUAAUGGGUCAGCGACUUAUAUUCAGUGGCAAGGUUAACCAUCUAGGGGAGCCGUAGGGAAACCGAGUCUUAACUGGGCGUUCAGUCUCUGGAUAUAGACCCGAAACCAGGUGAUCUAGCCAUGGGCAGGUUGAAGGUUGAGUAACAUCAACUGGAGGACCGAACCGACUAAUGUUGAAAAAUUAGCGGAUGACUUGUGGCUAGGGGUGAAAGGCCAAUCAAACCUGGAGAUAGCUGGUUCUCCCCGAAAGCUAUUUAGGUAGCGCCUCGGACGAAUACUACUGGGGGUAGAGCACUGUUAAGGCUAGGGGGUCAUCCCGACUUACCAACCCUUUGCAAACUCCGAAUACCAGUAAGUACUAUCCGGGAGACACACGGCGGGUGCUAACGUCCGUCGUGGAGAGGGAAACAACCCAGACCGCCAGCUAAGGUCCCAAAUUACUACUAAGUGGGAAACGAUGUGGGAAGGCUCAGACAGCCAGGAUGUUGGCUUAGAAGCAGCCAUCAUUUAAAGAAAGCGUAAUAGCUCACUGGUCGAGUCGGCCUGCGCGGAAGAUGUAACGGGGCUAAGUAGUAAACCGAAGCUGCGGCAAURURCUUUUGYAYAUUGGGUAGGGGAGCGUUCUGUAAGCGGUUGAAGGUGUGUGGUAACGCAUGCUGGACGUAUCAGAAGUGCGAAUGCUGACAUGAGUAACGAUAAAGGGGGUGAAAAACCUCCUCGCCGGAAGACCAAGGGUUCCUGUCCAACGUUAAUCGGGGCAGGGURAGUCGACCCCUAAGGCGAGGCCGAAAGGCGUAGUCGAUGGGAAACGGGUUAAUAUUCCCGUACUUCUUACAAUUGCGAUGGGGGGACGGAGAAGGCUAGGUGGGCCUGGCGACGGUUGUCCAGGUUCAAGUGYGUAGGCUUAAGAGUUAGGUAAAUCCGGCUCUUUUUAAGGCUGAGACACGACGUCGAGCAYCUACGGRUGUGAAGUCAUUGAUGCCAUGCUUCCAGGAAAAGCCUCUAAGCUUCAGAUUGUAAGGAAUCGUACCCCAAACCGACACAGGUGGUCGGGUAGAGAAUACCAAGGCGCUUGAGAGAACUCGGGUGAAGGAACUAGGCAAAAUGGUACCGUAACUUCGGGAGAAGGUACGCUCUYGAYGGUGAAGUCCCUCGCGGAUGGAGCUAUUGAGAGUCGCAGAUACCAGGUGGCUGCAACUGUUUAUUAAAAACACAGCACUGUGCAAAAUCGUAAGAUGACGUAUACGGUGUGACGCCUGCCCGGUGCCGGAAGGUUAAUUGAUGGGGUUAGACUUCGGUCGAAGCUCUUGAUCGAAGCCCCGGUAAACGGCGGCCGUAACUAUAACGGUCCUAAGGUAGCGAAAUUCCUUGUCGGGUAAGUUCCGACCUGCACGAAUGGCGUAAUGAUGGCCACGCUGUCUCCACCCGAGACUCAGUGAAAUUGAAAUCGCUGUGAAGAUGCAGUGUACCCGCGGCUAGACGGAAAGACCCCGUGAACCUUUACUACAGCUUGGCACUGAACAUUGACCCUACAUGUGUAGGAUAGGUGGGAGGCUUUGAAGCACGUACGCCAGUAUGUGUGGAGCCGUCCUUGAAAUACCACCCUUGUAGUGUUGAUGUUCUAACGUCGACCCCUWAUCGGGGUUGCGGACAGUGCCUGGUGGGUAGUUUGACUGGGGCGGUCUCCUCCCAAAGAGUAACGGAGGAGCACGAAGGUGGGCUAAUCACGGUUGGACAUCGUGAGGUUAGUGCAAUGGCAUAAGCCCGCUUGACUGCGAGAAUGACAAUUCGAGCAGGUGCGAAAGCAGGUCAUAGUGAUCCGGUGGUUCUGAAUGGAAGGGCCAUCGCUCAACGGAUAAAAGGUACUCCGGGGAUAACAGGCUGAUACCGCCCAAGAGUUCAUAUCGACGGCGGUGUUUGGCACCUCGAUGUCGGCUCAUCACAUCCUGGGGCUGAAGUCGGUCCCAAGGGUAUGGCUGUUCGCCAUUUAAAGUGGUACGCGAGCUGGGUUUAGAACGUCGUGAGACAGUUCGGUCCCUAUCUGCCGUGGGCGUUGGAAGAUUGAAGGGGGCUGCUCCUAGUACGAGAGGACCGGAGUGGACGAACCUCUGGUGUUCGGGUUGUGUCGCCAGACGCAUUGCCCGGUAGCUAAGUUCGGAAUCGAUAACCGCUGAAAGCAUCUAAGCGGGAAGCGAGCCCUGAGAUGAGUCUUCCCUGAUACUUUAAGUAUCCUAAAGGGUUGUCGGAGACUACGACGUUGAUAGGUCAGGUGUGUAAGUGCUGUGAGGCAUUGAGCUAACUGAUACUAAUUGCCCGUGAGGCUUAACCAUACAACACCCAAGGGGUUU
rnacentral:rRNA from 1 species